CAGUCGCCGCGGUAAUACGUAGGGCGCAAGCGUUAUCCGGAAUUAUUGGGCGUAAAGAGCUCGUAGGCGGUUUGUCGCGUCUGCCGUGAAAGUCCGGGGCUCAACCCCGGAUCUGCGGUGGGUACGGGCAGACUAGAGUGAUGUAGGGGAGACUGGAAUUCCUGGUGUAGCGGUGAAAUGCGCAGAUAUCAGGAGGAACACCGAUGGCGAAGGCAGGUCUCUGGGUAUUUACUGACGCUGAGGAGCGAAAGCAUGGGGAGCGAACAGGAUUAGAUACCCCGGUAGUCCCUGUCUCUUAUAC
rnacentral:rRNA from 1 species